rnacentral:ncRNA from 17 species
CGCCGUUCUCAGGGCGGGGUGAAAGUCCCUACCGGCGGUAUGCAGUUUCGAUUGCGAGCCCGCGAGCGCCUUCCUCGGAAGGGUCAGCAGAUCAGGUGAGAUGCCUGAGCCGACGGUCAUAGUCCGGAUGAAAGAGAACGUGC